rnacentral:misc_RNA from 1 species
GAACUGCGAUAAGUAAUGUGAAUUGCAGAAUUCAGUGAAUCAUCGAGUCUUUGAACGCACAUUGCGCCCCCUGGCAUUCCGGGGGGCAUGCCUGUCCGAGCGUCAUUGCUGCCCUUCAAGCCCGGCUUGUGUAUUGGGUCGUCGUCCCCUCCGGGGGACGGGCCCGAAAGGCAGCGGCGGCACCGCGUCCGGUCCUCGAGCGUAUGGGGCUUUGUCACCCGCUCGAUAAGGACCGGCCGGGCGCCAGCCGGCGUCUCCAACCUUUUUUUCUCAGGUUGACCUCGGAUCAGGUAGGGAUACCCGCUGAACUUAAGC